rnacentral:misc_RNA from 1 species
AACGCACAUUGCGCCCCUUGGUAUUCCGAGGGGCAUGCCUGUUCGAGCGUCAUUACACCACUCAAGCACUGCUUGGUAUUGGGCAUCGUCCGCCGUAAAGGCGGGCGUGCCUCGAAGACCUCGGCGGGGUUUCUCCAACUUCGGGCGUAGUAGAGUUAAAUCAAAACGUCUUAUAAGCUUGGUGAGAUCUCAUUGCCGUUAAACCUUUUUAUAUUUCAGGUUGACCUCGGAUCAGGUAGGGAUACCCGCUGAACUUAA